rnacentral:rRNA from 1 species
AGUGAACGCUGGCGGCAGGCCUAACACAUGCAAGUCGAACGGCGGCACAGUAAGAGUUUGCCUUUACGGAUGGCGAGUGGCGGACGGGUGAGGAAUAUAUCGGAACCUACUCUUUCGCGGGGGAUAAUGUAGGGAAACUUACGUUAAUACCGCAUACGACCUACGGGUGAAAGCAGGGGUUUUUCGGUUCUUUCUCGAAUCAAUGUGCCGAUGGUGGAUUAGCUAGUUGGCGGGGUAAAGGCCCACCAAGGCGACGAUGCAUAGCUGAUCUGAGAGGUUGAUCGGCCACACUGGAACUGAGACACGGUCCAGACUCCUACGGGAGGCAGCAGUAGGGAAUCUUCGGCAAUGGGCGCAAGCCUGACCCAGCCAUACCGCGUGAGUGAAGAAGGACUUCGGGUCGUAAAGCCCUUUUGUUGGGGAAGAAUGGCUGUAGAUUAAUUCCCCACUGUACUGACGGUACCCAACGAGUAAGCACCGGCUAACUUCGUG